rnacentral:tRNA from 1 species
GGGGAGUAGCUAUAAGUCGGUAGUCUGACACUGGUAACGUUAGGUUGCAAGUUCGAUCCUUGCCUCCCCUA